CCCCCUCAAGAUGAGAUUUCCCAACUUCGGUUAUAAGAUCCCUCAAAGAUGAUGAGGUUAAUAGGUUCGAGGUGGAAGCAUAGCGAUAUGUGGAGCUGACGAAUACUAAUCGAUCGAAGACUUAAUCAA
rnacentral:rRNA from 1 species